CCCAAGUGGUGAAAGCACCAUAGAAACGUCUCCAUUUUGGGGUUAGUGGACACAUUUAAGUGCUUGGAGGUGCCGGAUGGUGCCGGGAGUGGGGCAUGGGAGCCCUCCCCACUCCCAUCUGGCUGUUUCUGAACAGUGGCUUUUUAUAUAAAAAGCUGCUACUUUCUCAAUGGCUAAGAUGAAAGUGAAAGUCAGUUUUAGGCUGAGUGUCCACGACAGAGAACAGGCUCUGGUCUCAAAGCCACCCACAGAGGAGGAGAUUAUACCGAGACAAAAAAAGCACCUCUAAGGACUUUGUCACCAAGAAGGAAAAGUCACACAACACAGUUGGUGCCUGAAGAGGAACAGAACCAAGAUAAAGGCAGACAAGCAUGAGGCAAGUCCCAGAAGGUAUGAGGACAUAGACAAGAGCAGGAAGCCCUCACAAAGAUGUCUUCACAAGGCUGCAAGUGGCCAGCUGAGCAGACCACCAAACUCAUCAUGAUGGGUGUAAGAACUGGGGGCUCAAGCAUGCAGGCAACGGAUUGUAACAUUGAUGUGGGAGUCACUUGUGGACAGAAGUUAGAUUACAUGGAAAUUGGAAGUUGGAGAAACCAUGUGGGGCCACAGAGAGGUAGAGGUGGCAGAGGAGCACCAGCUGUACCAGUAUCCAUCCCUCUGAGGCUUCCUAGUGAGAACUGUCAAACUGGAGUGUGCUAGCCUGCAGAGAAUGCCAAUCCCUGGACUUCAAGUCUGAAGCAUCUCUACCUGGACCAGUUAGCAGAGAUGAAAAGAAAUAGCUCCAAAGCAGCUCUACCUGGACCAGUUAACAGAGAUGAAAAGAAAAAGCGUCAUUGGUCCAUUUGAGUCCUGUGUGUUGAUUAUUUAUCUUGCCCCUCUUAUCCUGUUGAAGGGAACAGUGUUUUGCACAAGACAUUUCAAGGCCAAGUUCUCAGCACAAAGGAGAUUUACUUGCCCCAGAGGAACAGAGGGCAGGGAAAAAGAGACAGAGACAAGAGAUAGAGGACAAGGGAGAAGGGGAAAGGAACAGGGGAGAUGGAGAAGGGGUGUUUGUCCUGAAGGACAAAGGAUUGCCUCUGGAUAGAGAGGAGACAGAUGUGGCCCACAGGAAAACGGUGGUUUAUAAAGGUAAAUGAGGAAACCCUGUGUUAGGAUGAGGUGCCUAAUUUUGAUUAGACAGGUUAAUUAGGGUGACCACAAGGGGGCUUUUGAUUGCUAGACUUCAGUUCUUUUAGCUGGACCUUGGCAGUCAGUCUCAGGGGGAGGAAGUGGCCAGACAGGGGAGCAGACCUUGCAGGCUAGCUUUAGGAAUGCAAUUUAAUAUUUUUCUCAAGGAAGAAGGAAUAGGGGAGAAAGGCAAGACCUGCCAGAGCCAUUUUUGCCAUGGCCAGGCCACGAGUCCCUGCCAAGUACAUGGUGAUCCUUAAUGUCAGCACUCGGGAGGCAGAGGCAAGCAUAUCUCUGAUUUCAAAGCCAGCUUGGCCUAUGAAAUGAGUUCCAGGCUAGCCAGGGCAGCAUGAUGAGGUCUGUCCAAAUAUAAAAUAAAAUUAAAGUCAAGGCAGGAAUGCAUGAACACCAUUCUCUUUCUCGCCCCUAUGGCAUUUCAGUAAUAAUAAACCGUAAUUAUUACCAGUAGGCAAAGCUUGGGAGUCUGCUUCUUCUGAUUCACCUUGGGGUUCGAAGACGUUUUCUUCGCAGAGCCC